UACGAAGGGUGCAAGCGUUACUCGGAAUUACUGGGCGUAAAGCGUGCGUAGGCGGUUCGUUAAGUCUGAUGUGAAAGCCCUGGGCUCAACCUGGGAAUUGCAUUGGAUACUGGCGGGCUAGAGUACGGUAGAGGGUGGCGGAAUUCCUGGUGUAGCAGUGAAAUGCGUAGAUAUCAGGAGGAACAUCCGUGGCGAAGGCGGCCACCUGGACCAGUACUGACACUGAGGCACGAAAGCGUGGGGAGCAAACAGG
rnacentral:rRNA from 1 species